rnacentral:rRNA from 1 species
GACGAACGCUGGCGGCGUGCCUAACACAUGCAAGUCGAGCGGAGCGGCGAACGGGCGAGUAACGCGUGAGUAACUGCCCCCCUCUCUGGGAUAACAGUUGGAAACGGCUGCUAAUACCGGAUAGUGGGGGAUGACUCGCGUCCUAUCUGCUUGUUGGUGGGGUAGUGGCCUACCAAGGCGACGACGCUUAGCCGGCCUGAGAGGGCGACCGGCCACAUUGGGCUGAAAUACGGCCCAGACUCCUACGGGAGGCAGCAGUGGGGAAUAUUGCACAAUGGGGGAAACCCUGAUGCAGCAACGCGCGUGCGGGAUGACGGCCUUCGGGUUGUAAAGUACUUUCAGCGGGGAGGGUGAAUAACCGCAGCGAUUGACGUUACUCGCAGAAGAAGCACCGGCUAACUCCGUGCCAGCAGCCGCGGUAAUUC